UCCAGGGAACAGCAAAACCCCCCAAAAAAUCCCUUGAAUGUUGUGUGGGGGCAGAAAUAGAAAUAGAAAAGCUCCACCAAGGGAAGGGCCAACAGGGUUUAGGAUGGACUGCUCCAAACUGGGUCAGGUUUAGGACGGACUGCUCAGAUUUAGGAUGGACUGCUCAGCUGAUUCAGAUUUAGGAUGAACCAACUCAGAUUUAGGAUGAAUUGAUUCAGAUUUAGGAUGAACUGCUCAGAUUUAGGAUGAACUGCUCAGAUUUAGGAUGGACUGCUCAGAUUUAGGAUGCGCUGCUCAGCUGAUUCAGAUUUAGGAUGUUUUCCUCAGAGCUCCUGGGUUGUGAUCUUUGCACCCCCCAAAUUCCAGGCAAGUGUGCCAACAGGAGCCCAGAGUUCCCGACCUGCAUCCCAGGAGCCCCAUUCCUCAGGGAA